rnacentral:misc_RNA from 1 species
GAUGAAGAACGCAGCGAAAUGCGAUAAGUAAUGUGAAUUGCAGAAUUCAGUGAAUCAUCGAAUCUUUGAACGCACAUUGCGCCCGCCAGUAUUCUGGCGGGCAUGCCUGUUCGAGCGUCAUUUCAACCAUCAAGCCCCCGGCUUGUGUUGGGGACCUGCGGCUGCCGCAGGCCCUGAAAACCAGUGGCGGGCUCGCUAGUCACUCCGAGCGUAGUAAUACAUCUCGCUCAGGGCGUGCUGCGGGUUCCGGCCGUUAAAAAGCCUUAUUUACCCAAGGUUGACCUCGGAUCAGGUAGGAAGGCCCGCUGAACUUAAGCAUAUCAAUAAGCGGAGA